AGAAGACGAGACGUUAGAGGACACUGAUCGAGAGAUAAAACUCCCAAAAGCUGAAGCAGGGGAGACUGCUGCUAAACAGAAUACAACCACAGACCGUCCCGUCAGAGGCGCCACGCUGCGCUCCGCUCUCAGGUACGAGC